rnacentral:rRNA from 1 species
GAUGAACGCUAGCGGCAGGCCUAAUACAUGCAAGUCGGACGGGAUCCAUCGGAGAGCUUGCUCGAAGAUGGUGAGAGUGGCGCACGGGUGCGUAACGCGUGAGCAACCUACCUCUAUCGGGGGGAUAGCCUCUCGAAAGAGAGAUUAACACCGCAUAACAUCAACAGUUCGCAUGUCCGGUUGAUUAAAUAUUUAUAGGAUAGAGAUGGGCUCGCGUGACAUUAGCUAGUUGGUAGGGUAACGGCCUACCAAGGCGACGAUGUCUAGGGGCUCUGAGAGGAGAAUCCCCCACACUGGUACUGAGACACGGACCAGACUCCUACGGGAGGCAGCAGUAAGGAAUAUUGGUCAAUGGGCGGAAGCCUGAACCAGCCACGCCGCGUGCAGGACGACUGCCCUAUGGGUUGUAAACUGCUUUUGUCCAGGAAUAAACCUCUUUACGUGUAGAGAGCUGAAUGUACUGGAAGAAUAAGGAUCGGCUAACUCCGUGCCAGCAGCCGCGGUAAGAC